GGUCGACUGUAGAAUCAGCUUCGCGUAAAUAGUGUUUGCUUUUCCAGUUGUUCGGAUUCUAACCUUUAUCGCAAUCAUCAAACCGUGCUGUGCUAGGGGGCAGCUGCUCGCACCUUUGUAUCAUCCUUCACUAUGCUCCUUGCUUACCCACACAUUGCGCCUCUCCAACCUCUCUGCGGUUCUCUGCCACGUUCCAACGCACCAUCGUCUGUUCCUCUGUGACUCCGGCAGGAGCAUCCCCUCGCCGCUGCUUGUCGUCAGAUCCAUGGAGCAUGAUUGAUCACAAAAGAUAUCCUCAACCUAAUGCCUCCAGCCAUUGAGGGCUGCCAGCAGGUGGACCUUAUAUCUUCCUCCUGCAGAUUGAUCUCUUUCUUUGAAACGACUGAAUAACUCAUGAUUAAUUGCUCUGUAAAUACUUGAUCCUCCUGCAGCAUCGUGAUCGGAUACCUUGUGACGUGACAAUGGAUUUCGCCAUCAGCGCGGCAUGCUGGGUGGUGCUCCAUGUGAUGCUCCCAGUCUUUUAGCUGUGUUUCUUCCUCCUUUAUCAUCAACACGUUGCGCAUCUCCAACCUCUCUGCACUCCUCUGCUACACUGUAACUCGCUUGUCAGUGCUUGUUCUCAGACAUCUUCCACGUCUUCCAUCGUGAGGAUCCAUGGAUUUUGCCAUCAGCGCAGCGCGUUUGGUGGUGGGCAGGGCGCUGAGCCCCGUGACGGACGGCCUGCUCGAGUCGUGGACGGCCAGCUCGGAGCUCGGCCCCAACGUCCGCGCCCUCAAGCUGGAGCUCCUGUACGCCAAGGGGUUGCUCGACAACGCCCGUGGCCGGGACGUCCGCAGCCCGGCGCUGGGGGAGCUCCUGCUGGAGCUCCAGCACCAAGCGUACAGCGCCGACGACGUGCUGGAUGAGCUGGAGUACUUCCGCAUCCAGGACGAGCUGCAGGGGACGUACGAGACCACCGAUGCAGAGGACCGGGGUCUCGUCGGCAGCGUCGUCCUCCACGCUCGUCACACGUCAAGAGCCGUCGCACACAAGCUCAAGUGCUCCUGCUCGUGUGCUGCUGUGAUCCGCAGUGAUUCCAGCGAGGAUUCCAAGAAAGGAUGUUUCCCAAUGGGCUGCUCAUCAUGUGGUGGCGAAAACGCCAAUGAGAUCCAGGAGGAGGCUGAAAGGACAUGCUUCCGUAAGAUGGCUUCAACAGCUCGCAACACUGCCAUUGCUGUCGGUAGGCGCCUUCCAUGCUACUCUGUCCCCUCUGUCCAAGGUGAUACUAACACAGACAUGCCACGGAGUAGUAGGCGGCCAUUCCUCUGUUGCUCUUGGUCAUCCAAGGCUCAACACAGAAAAUGUUCUGUUCAUGCACCAAAACUUAAGUUUGAUAGGGUGGAGCUGUCCAGAAAGAUGGUGGACAUUGUAGAGCAGCUCAAGCCAGUCUGCGCUAAGGUCUCCACCAUUCUUGACAUGGAAUUGGUGGGCUCUGCAAUUCAUAAGUUAGAGCUCUUGGGAGGAAAUGGCACCAGUAUACAUCAAAGCACUACUCUGAACCGACCCAGAACUUCGGACCCACGGAUUAUACAGCCUAAGUUUUAUGGCAGGGAUAACCUGAGAAAGGAACUUGUGGAUGCCAUUACCCAAGGUAAAUACUCGGCCAAUGAACUCACUGUUCUAUCAUUAUUUGGUCCAGGGGGUAUUGGCAAGACAGAAUUCACAAAACAUAUAUACCAAGAUGUAAACAAGCACUUUCAAGACCAAGAUGCAAACAAGCACUUUCAAGUCUCCAUAUGGAUAUGUGUAUCACAGAAUUUCAGUGCAAGUAGAUUGUUAGAAGAGAUUAAAACGAAGAUACCAAAAGGAGACAAUGAAAAUGAUAUUACAGGUAAUGUUGAAGAACAAAUCCGGAAACGGCUGCAGCUUAAACGAUUCUUGCUUGUCUUGGAUGACAUGUGGACAUAUGAUGAGAAUGAGUGGAAAAAACUUCUAGCUCCAUUUGAAAACACAGGAAUAAAAGGCAAUAUGAUCAUAGUCACCACACGACGUCCAAACGUAGCAGAACAUGUUGCAACAAAGGGUUGUUUUAGAAGACUUGAGCGUCUAAAUGAUGAAGAUUGUAUGCAUUUAUUGAAAGAAUUGGUGUUUGAUGACCAACAAUCCUGGGAAAACCAUUCUAAUUUGUAUGAGGUCGGGCAGAACAUAGUGAAGAGACUAAAGGGUUUCCCUCUUGCAGUUAAAACUGUUGGAAGAAUUCUGAGAAAGAGACGCACUGUCGACCACUGGACAAGUGUUUUGAACAGUAAAGAAUGGGAAGACCAAACUGGUGAUGAUGAUAUCAUGCCAGCAUUAAAGCUUAGCUACAGCUAUCUUCCUUUCGAUCUACAGCAGUGCUUUUCAUAUUGUGCCUUGUUUCCCGAAGAUUAUGAAUUUGGUAACACAGAGUUGAUUCACUUGUGGAUAGGUUUAGGAUUACUAGGUGCAAGUAAUCAGAACAAGAGAGUUGAGGAUAUUGGAUUGGAUUAUAUAGAUGACUUGGUUGAUCAUGGUUUCUUCCAAAAGAGUGAAAAAGAGGAUAAUAAUCCUUGCUAUAUGAUCCACGACCUGCUACAUGAGCUGGCGGUAAAAGUUUCAGAAUACGAAUGUCUCAGUAUAGAUGGUUCUAAUGUGAAGUCCAAACAAAUUCCUGCAUCCAUACGUCACUUGACAAUCAUUGUAGAUACCACAGAUGUCAAGGAUAGAACCACCUUUGAAAACUUCAAAACAAACCUAGGUGUACUAGGUAAAAGAGUGAAAGCUGAAAAUUUACGUACUUUGAUGUUAUUUGGAGAUAAGCAUGGAAGCUUUUCCAAGACGUUCAGUGAAUUAUUUGAUAAGGCAAAAGCUCUUCGCGUUCUGUUCUUAUCCGAAGUACCCAGUAACUUGGAGGAUCUAUUGCCGAACUUUCCAAAGCUUGUCCAUCUUCGUUACUUGAGGAUCAAGGGACCUGCAACAACUCUGCCCAGCUACAUCUCCAGAUUUUAUCACUUGUUGGUCCUAGAUCUAUGCCAAUCCAACAUUCGCUUGGCUUCUGUAACAGAGAUGAGCAACCUUGUGAAAAUUCGCCAUUUUCUUGUUGAAGAUGGAGAUUGUCACUCUGAAAUUUCUGAGGUGGGAAAACUACAAUCUUUACAAGAGUUAAGGAGAUUUGAAGUGAAAAAAGAUAUCAGUGGAUUUGAGUUGAAGCAGUUGGGGAAAUUGCUAAAUCUCCGAGGAUCAUUGGCAGUAUGUAAUCUUGAAAAGAUAGAAGAAACGAAGGAAGCAGAUGAAGCAAAACUAGUAGACAUGAACUACUUAACGGGGUUAGAAUUGAAAUGGGGAACUAACGGGUCUAUCAAGGACCUGAAAAAAGAAGAUGAUGUCCUCGAAAAACUUAAACCAAACAGUAAUGUUCAAGAAGUAUGCAUAAGAGGGCAUGGAGGUACUACUUACCCCUCUUGGCUUCGUGAUCUGUACAUUACAAAUUUGGUACAUCUUUGUCUAGAUGGUGUAGCAUGGAAAAGUCUUCCACUUCUAGGGGAGUUGUGGACAGUUCAUGAGCAUGGUGAAGAGUGCCAACCCUAUAUCGGAGGCCAAACAUUUCAGAAACUAAAAAGAAUUGAACUGCGUAACAUUGAAACCCUGAAGAGAUGGCGUGAAAAUGGCACUCAUUCAUUCCCUGUUCUAGUGGAACUGGUUGUUCAAAAUUGCCCUGAGCUUAUAGAGUUGCCAUUUUCACAUUGCACUAGCUGCCCAGCUGAAAAAGAAGAAAUAGUGACUAUGUUUCCCAUGCUUCGGGAAAUAGAAAUUAGAAAUUGCCCUAAACUAUCUCCAUUGCCACCUAUUCCUUGGUCUGACACUCUGUGCAAAGCUAAAAUGUGGCAAACGGGUACUAGUAUUGAAUGGUUAUCUUACAGCAACAACAAACGGUGGGGCAAAGAUGUCAGUGUCGAAAUGGGAAAGGAUGCCCAUGAUAGUGAACUCUGGAAUAUGCUGGCUUUUAAUAAUCUGAGGGAUAUAGAGUCGUUCAGGAUGGAGAACUGCCCUCCUGUUCCUCUUGCUCGCAUGCAACCGCUAGAAUUUCUGAAGAGACUCUAUAUUCAGAAUUGCAGUAAUGUCUUGUGGCCAGUUGAAGGUGAAAACAAUUCCUGUUACAAGUUUCCAAUUGAAUAUCUCAGCAUCUGGAAUUGUGUUGCUACUGGGAAGGAAUUGACACAGUUCAUCUCAUAUUUUCCUAACCUCUCAGAGUUGGAUGUACGUAAUUGUAAAAUGGUAACGGGAUUGGGUGUGGCGGAGAAGCAGAUCACAUCAGCACCUACGCCAUCACCAUCAGCUUCAGAUGAGAAAACAGGGGAUGAACAAAUCAAACAGCUGCAACAACAGGCAAGUGGAGCGGACGAAAUUGAAAGUGCAGUGGAAGGACUGCUGCUUUUGCCUCCCCAAAUAAAGGAGUUGAGGAUUGAUGAUUGCCCAGAUCUGAGGCUCUUCUCUGGUUCACUCGAUGAAGGCACAGCGUCUAGCCAAAGGCUCCAAGGUCUGGGCUCCCUCAUAUCGUUUGUCACUUUUUUUUGCCCCAACUUGCUCUCCUCCUGUUCAUCCUCGACUUAUUGCCCUUUCCCGACGUCCCUGCAAUAUCUCGUGCUCGUGGAUGUGGAGGGCAUAUUCGCGUUUGCGCCUCUCUCAAACCUGACGGAUUUGUACAUAUCUAAUUGUGGCGAUCUCAGAGGCGAGGUCCUAUGGCCUCUCCUGGCGCAUGGCCACCUCACCAGAUUAACCAUCAAAGGAUGCCCGAACUUAUUUGGUUCAGAGCCACCACGGCUGGAUGAACAGAACCAUCCCCAUCCCUAUGGACUGCAGGAGCUCGUAACGGAUGGCAAAGCAGGAAUCCUUGCUGUGCCUCUCUGUGCCCCCCUCUCUGCGUCCCUCACCAAAUUAGAAUUUUAUGGCAACGAUGAUAUGGAGCACUUCACAAAGGAGCAAGAACAGGCCCUUCAGAUCCUCACCUCCCUUCAGGGGCUUGAAAUAUCAUCCUGCGAUAAGCUGCAGGGCAUGCCUGCAGGGCUAAGUCGACUUCCCAACCUCAAGAGAUUAGAGAUCAGCUACUGUAAAGCCAUACGGUUGUGGCCCAAGGACGGCCUUCCAAGUUCGCUGACAGAGUUAGAGAUCACCAACUGCCCAGCCAUCCGGUCACUGCCUAAGGGCAGCCUCCCGAGUUCAUUGCAAACGUUGGAUGUCCAUGAUGACGACAACAAUCAGGAGCUGAAGAGGCAGUGCCACAAGCUUCGAGGAACAAUUCCAAUAAUCAUGGCUUAGAGCAAUCCAAGGAUAAUAGAAAUCCAAUGUUGCAACUGCACUGAGUUGAUCCGUUUCAGUGAAGGGCCAAUUUUGCAGCCGCAUGAAUUUCAUCCAUCCUGUGUCUGUACUGUUUAACUCUUUGCUCACUAAUCUCCAUAGUUGGAGUGAUGAUUAUGCAAGAAAUUGGUUGGCAGAGGCAUUUUGUCAGUUUGGUCUGUGGCAGUGAAUUCAGCUUCCUGAAGUGUCUAUCAAUGGCUACUUGAGAUUGUCUGAUCAGCAGUUUGACUUUUUGGUGUACAUUUCCGCCAAAUUUAAGGUUAUUUCAGCAUCAUGUUGGCCUCUCCAGAUGAGCAUUGAAGAAUUCUAUCUUCUUCUGCUCAAGUGACGAGUUCUCUAGGGGCAUGAAAGAAUUGUUGACCAGCUCGUGUAACCUCUAGGUAUUGUAGAGAAGAUUACUUGUAUUGAUUAUCAUUAUAGUGGAAAUUUUGGCAGUCGGCCAUUUAGGUCCUGUGGUUUUUUACUUCUCGAUUUGGGGAUCUUUUUCCACGUAAAUCAUUGUCGCAUGUUGUUUCUGAAGUUUUCCUGUUGCUGGUUUACAAUUGUCAUCCGAUAAAACAAAGAAGGUUUGAAAGUUGUGCA